rnacentral:rRNA from 1 species
UGAGGAAUAUUGGUCAAUGGGCGCAGGCCUGAACCAGCCAAGUCGCGUGAGGGAUGACGGUCCUACGGAUUGUAAACCUCUUUUGUCGGGGAGUAACGUGCGGGACGCGUCCCGUAUUGAGAGUACCCGAAGAAAAAGCAUCGGCUAACUCCGUGCCAGCAGCCGCGGUAAUACGGAGGAUGCGAGCGUUAUCCGGAUUUAUUGGGUUUAAAGGGUGCGCAGGCGGCGCGCCAAGUCAGCGGUAAAAGCCCGGGGCUCAACUCCGGCGAGCCGUUGAAACUGGCGGACUAGAGAAGGCGAGAAGUACGCGGAAUGCGCAGUGUAGCGGUGAAAUGCAUAGAUAUUGCGCAGAACUCCGAUUGCGAAGGCAGCGUACCGGCGCCUGACUGACGCUGAGGCACGAAAGCGUGGGUAUCGAACAGGCUUAGAUACCCUGGUAGU